ensembl:snRNA U6 U6 spliceosomal RNA
UAACAUUGGAAUGGUGCAAAGAUUAGCAAGGCUCCUGAACAAGGAUGACACAAAUUUGUGAAGCCUUCCAUAUUUUA